GACGAACGCUGGCGGCGUGCUUAACACAUGCAAGUCGAACGGAAAGGCCCUGCUUUUGUGGGGUGCUCGAGUGGCGAACGGGUGAGUAACACGUGAGUAACCUGCCCUUGACUUUGGGAUAACUUCAGGAAACUGGGGCUAAUACCGGAUAGGAGCUCCUGCUGCAUGGUGGGGGUUGGAAAGUUUCGGCGGUUGGGGAUGGACUCGCGGCUUAUCAGCUUGUUGGUGGGGUAGUGGCUUACCAAGGCUUUGACGGGUAGCCGGCCUGAGAGGGUGACCGGCCACAUUGGGACUGAGAUACGGCCCGGACUCCUCCGGGAGGCAGCAGUGGGGAAUAUUGCACAAUGGGCGGAAGCCUGAUGCAGCAACGCCGCGUGCGGGAUGACGGCCUUCGGGUUGUAAACCGCUUUCGCCUGUGACGAAGCGUGAGUGACGGUAAUGGGUAAAGAAGCACCGGCUAACUACGUG
rnacentral:rRNA from 1 species